rnacentral:piRNA from 1 species
UAAUGAGUUUCUGCUGCUGGCUCCACC